rnacentral:rRNA from 1 species
GUGCCAGCAGCCGCGGUAACACGUAGGGGGCGAGCGUUGUCCGGAUUUAUUGGGCGUAAAGAGCUCGUAGGCGGUUUCGUAAGUCGGAUGUGAAAACUCCAGGCUCAACUUGGAGACGCCAUUCGAUACUGCGAUGACUUGAGUCCGGUAGGGGAGUGUGGAAUUCCUGGUGUAGCGGUGAAAUGCGCAGAUAUCAGGAGGAACACCGGCGGCGAAGGCGGCACUCUGGGCCGGUACUGACGCUGAGGAGCGAAAGCGUGGGUAGCAAACAGGAUUAGAUACCCUCGUAGUCC